UGGCCUGUGGCGGCCAUGAUCUAUAGUCCUCUGCCUUGAUCUGUAGUCCUUCGCCUUGGUCUGUAGUCCUCCGCCUUGGUAACGGCUCCUCCAGGAGCCUUGGGUGAGGGUUUCGAAAGAAUUAGCGCCUUUGGGUUGAAUGCUGACAGAACCCUUUUCAGGAUUGUUCAUCCAUCUUUGGGGGCCACUUGAUUCACCCAUCUCUCACUUGUUGCUCCAAGAAGCUAUAUUGGCCACAUCCUUUUGGCAAGACUGGGCUGAACCAUUUUAAGCCUCAGACCUCUUGGUGAAUUAGAAGGGUAGGGAACAAAUAUCCCUAGCCUAUGUAAACUUUCCCUGAUAGGAUGGGUAGAUGAAGAAAGCACCUUGUAGGGCUUAGAGUUUAGACUUCAGAAGAUGCUAAGGUCAUCCACAAGCUAUGGCCAGUUCUGACUUUUGUCUUGUCACUGGACUUUGAUGAUUCCACAAGAGAGUGUGAGUGAGGCUCGUGAUCCUGUGCAACUUUACCUCACUUAAGUCUGAUUCACUUACAAAUUAAGAUAUUGCCCAUGGACACUAAUACAUUGUUGGUGGAGUUGUGAACUGAUCUAACUAUUCUGGAGAGCAAUUUGGAACUGGGCUCAAAGGGCUAUCAAAAUGUGCCCUUUGAUCCAGAAAUAUUUCUAUAGGACUUAUAUCCAAAAAGAUCUUAAAGGAGGGAAAGGGACUCACAUGUGCAAAAAUGUUUGUGGCAGCCCUUUUUGUGGUGGCAAGAAACUGGAAACUAAAUGGAUGCCCAUCAGUUGGAGAAUGGCUAAGUUAUGGUAUAUGAAUGUUGUGGAAUAUUAUUAUUCUAUAAGAAAUGAUCAACAGGUUACUAUCAGAGAGGUCUGGAGAGACUUACAUGAACUGAUGCCAAGUGAAAUGAGCAGAACCAGAAGAUCAUUAUAUCAUGAUCAAUUCUGAUGGACACAGCUGUCUUCAAUGGUGAGAUGAUUCAGGCCACUUCAUUGAUCUUGUGAUGAAAAGAGGCAUCUACACCCAGAAAGAGUUUUGUGGGAACUGAGUAUGGAUCACGAUAUAACAGUUUCACUCUUUUUUUUGUUUGCUUGCAUUUUAUUUUCUUUCUCAUUUUUUUUCCUUUUUGAUCUGAUUUUUGUUGUGCAGCAAGAUAAUUGUAUAACUAUAUGAGCAUAUAUUGGAUUUAACAUAUAUGUGCAUGCAUAUAGAUACAGAUAUAGAUAUUUUUUACCAUGUUUAACAUUUCCCAAUUGCUUGCCAUCUAGGGAAGGGGAUGGGGGAAAAGGAGAGAAAAAGUGGAACAUAAAGUUUUGCAAGGAUUGUUGUUGAAAAAUCCAUGCAUAUAUUUUGAAAAUGAAAAGCUUAAAGAAAAAAAGAGAUACUGCUCAUGGUGUCACUUGACCUCCUCAAUAAAGGACAAACAGCAA